AUACAGAGCUUAGUAGGUUAAAUUGGUUACGUAGAAUAUGUUUGGUUGUCGAUAUAUACAAGUUACGUAUGAGAGAAGAAACGCGUACGGUGCUAAGUUUGUUCCUGUUCCCACCGUCAUCUCCUGACAAGUCGCUUCAGUAAUAGUCUAAUAGAAGCAGAUGAUCUUGGGGGUGGUGAAGGAGAGAGAGAGGAGAAUGCAGAACAAGUAAGAAGUGUAAAGAGCAAUCAAAAGAAACAGAGAAGUUGAACUUACUGAUCAAACUGAACAAUGUGCGUAUUGGUUGAACUGAACUUGCCGUUCAAAAAACUGAACAAUGUAAGUAUUUGUAACACCCCGAGCCUCCUGUUAAUGGGCUGCCCACACCCGCUCUCUCGGUCCGUGGACCCAUCCCAUCAGUUGAUGGCUAUUUUUUUUACUGCUGAAAGCUGCCGCAGCGGUGGUAUAACAAAUAGGGUAAUAUGCUUCAAAUUCGACUUAGCAGAGCUUCUUCCACCCAUACUAAUGUGAUGAACGGAUUCAAAAAGAUUCAGACAAUCAAGAAGAUGGAAGGAAUCUUCAUCUGUGAUGCUGUUCUUCACUGUCUCAGGUCUUUCCUCAAGAAACCUGACUUUGAAGCCUAUGUCCAUGACCUCCACCACACCCUAUUGUAAGCCAAUGCUGAGAAAGAAGAAGACGGCAACAACGAAUCCGAGGUUCAGAGCACAAAGCUGUAGUCUUCGGCUUCAGAAUCCACACUGAUGAGAGGUCCCUUGAGAUCCCAGCAGCAACAACAACAGUUACUACUACACAGAUCAGCAUCCUUGUCAAAGCCACAACCUGGGUUUGGUCAAGCACAGGGGCGGCUUAGAUGGGUGGGCGGGGAGUGCGACCGCCCCAGGGCCCAAGGAUCCAGUUUUUUUUUUUACAAUUUUUUAAAAAAAUUUUAAUAAAUAAAAAUGUAAAUAUAAAUAUAUUUUAACUAAAUUUAGUUAUGUAUAUUUUAAAAACUAAAUUUAUCUUGAAAAUUUUCAUACAAAAUAAUAUAAUUUCUUAAAUAAUUACAUUAAAUUUUAGAUUUUAACUAAUUUUCAAAAGAAUUAUUGCCAAAAAACUAUAUAACUUAUUUUUGUCCGGGGGCCUAAAAUGUUUAUGAGUAGGCUCUGGUCAAGCAUAGAGCUACCCUGCAGAGAACGAUAACUCUCGUCCUCCGGGAUUCGAAACCGCUGGUCCCAGACUACGGGGGCCGCCUAUGGAUAUGAUGCAACCACCGCCCAGCAUGCCAAUGAAUCAAAACCCGUUUGGUGUUCCGUCUCAACAAUACUAUAAUAGCGGAGCCAAUUUAAAUGGUUCGUUUUCGGGAUUUUAAUAAGUGAUCAGAAAACCAAACUAAUUAUAUAAUUGAACCGCAUCAAACCGGAGCCAAUUUAAAUGGUUCGUUUUCGAGAUUUUAAUAAGUGUGUGUAUAUAUAUUUACAACCUAAAAACACUCGCAAUUUUGGGCUCACUCCGCCGCCGCCGACGAGCUGAAUCGAUUAUAGGAAUGCGAAUUAUGAAGAAGAAGCAGUUGAAGAAAGCCUUCAGAGUUUGGCACACUGUCUGCCGAGAAGAAUCAGGUGAGUCUUUCUCCUAAUUUUUAGUCUUUAGUUUGAGGUAUUCCUCUCUAUGUCUGUAUUUAUCAAAGAGUGCGCAUAAAAGGUGGGAAUCUUUAUUCUUAGAUUUUGAAGUAGAGCUUAGACAAACAAUGCUGCUGGCUUUUUCAAAUACACACACAAAGCAUCAAACAUUGGUCUUGGUGGGUUUGAGUUAACACCACUGAGGAGAGAUGUGUCUAUUAAAUUUCACGAUGAUGCAAAAGCAAGUUGGCUUGACAUAUCAAACCCAAGUUAUAAGUUUUCAAACUUGGGUCUAUUAAUCAUUGCUAUAUGCUCUCUCUCUCUCUCUCUCUUUUCUCCAUUUGCCCUCACUCUGUCUUUUUUUUCCUGCUUAAAUUUGCCUCUGUCUCUGUUUGUUGCCAUUUCCCUUUACAGUAUUUGUUUCUUCUGAUGAAACUGGUUAGUUAGUUGAGUUCAAACAACUUUUGCAUCCUUCUCCUUUUAUCUCUAAUCUGUUAAAUCCCUGCAGCUUGCUUUGUUCAAGUUGCAAUGAGAGAUAACCAUUCCAUUGAGUGGAACAAGACCAUGUACUUUAGACGAGAUGUACUUUAAUCUUAAUAUGUAAUUUCACUACGAAACCGCCUUGUAUAUAUAUGUUCAUGUUACUAUCUCAUAUAGUCAUAUUGUCUGAGUUUAUGAAAAAUCAAAUAUGAUUUUGUUUGUAAAAACGAAA